rnacentral:lncRNA from 1 species
UAAUGGUGGCUGCCUUUGAUUACUAACCUCAGCUACAUAUAAUGAAUGAUCCCUUUUGACAGAAGACCAUCUACAAGAAUUGGAGAACGAAGCAGAGAAGCCUCUAUACUUUACUGCUUUUCAUGGUGUAUUCUACAUAAAUAUGUUAAAUUCUGGCGCUUUCAGGCGGUCCAGUGUCCUUCUUUGGUGCUUUCGUCAAACUUGUUCCAAACCGUUUUCCUUGGAACGUUGUUCCUUUUAUUCGAACGUGGGUUUUCCCCAUGUUCGAAUAAAAGGAGUGGUGUUCCAAGGAAGACGGUUUGGAAUAAGUUUGAGAGCUGUAGAUGGCGACAGCCGAAAGCACUGAAGAAGGAUAUUGGACUGCUUGUGGGUGCUGGAAUUUAAUGUAUUUAUGUCAAAAAUGAUUUUCUACAAUAAUUGGAAUGAGAGAUUUAUUAUUAUCUACAGGAAAUUAAUUUUAUUUGCAUACAGAAAUUUUAUUCUUGUGAAUUUUCAUUAUUGAUAAAGAAUAUUCUGAUAUUUUGUUGCUUAUAUUUACAGUCAAUAUUUUGUAUAUGAAAUGUUCAUGAUUAGGGAAAAUAUCUGCAUUUGUGAAAAGAAUGAUAGAAAUUUUGAUUUGGAAUUCAUUUACUUCAAAUCAUAACAGAAUGAAAAAUAAAAAAAUUAUAGUUAUAUGUCUAGAUAUCUAUUUGAAAAUUAUUAUAAUAAAAUAAUUACAAUAUAUGAAAUUCUUGUUUUUUGAAUAAUAAUGUAUGUAUUUAUAUAUUAGCCAUAUAUUUUGAAAAUUAAUAUAAUCAGACUGUUGUCAAUAUAUAGAAUAUAAAUAAAAUAUAAAU